rnacentral:rRNA from 1 species
CCUACGGGAGGCAGCAGUGGGGGAUAUUGCACAAUGGGGGAAACCCUGAUGCAGCAACGCCGCGUGUAGGAAGAAGGUCCUCGGGAUGGUAAACCACUGUACACGGGGACGGAAGUGGCGGGAACUGGGGAAGAAGGCCCGGCUAAAUACGGGCCAGCAACCGGGGUAAUAGGGAGGGAGCGAGCGUUGUCCGGAAUUACUGGGUGGAAAGGGGGGGUAGGGGGGGAUGCAAGGUGGGUUGAAAAACUACCGGCUCAACUGGUAGUCGCACUUAAAACUGGAGCUCUUGAGUGAAGUAGAGGCAGGCGGAAUUCCUAGUGUAGCGGUGAAAUGCGUAGAUAUUAGGAGGAACACCAGUGGCGAAGGCGGCCUGCUGGGCUUUUACUGACGCUGAGGCUCGAAAGUGUGGGGAGCAAACAGGAUUAGAUACCCCGGUAGUC